UUUUAUUUCCUUUUAACAUUCCUAAUUCUGUUGAUCUAUUUCUGGCUCAUCUGUAAUGCCCACUGUUAGCUGCGUUUCAAACACACACUUAUUUCAGAGCAUUCUUUCAGCAGCCUUUCAAAAGGGAGGCUACGGCUUGUUUUACUAGACAUGCAUACUGUUCCAAUCUUUAUAGUUUCCACUUCCUAAUGAGCAACCUUUGUGCAGCGGCAGCAUCAGUCUAUCGAUAUGGUGCACUGCUCUGGAUGCGUGGCUGUCCAGUGUGCGAGGAGCACUACUCUCACUUCUCUUGGUGUUCCUCCCGGCUGUUCUUGGAGAGAAGAAAUGGGAGAAAUCAGCAGCUAUUUCUAACUUGAUGUCUUCUAAAACCUGGAAAUACUGAGUGGAGACGCUAAGAUCUCUGAGUAUCCAGUGGUUUUUACAGAAACCAGAGGAGAGAAAAUCAGAAAUGCAAAAACCAAAACUACACACUGUAAGCCGGAUUUUCGGAAGAGCUCAGCGUGUGGAUCCUUUUUGAAAAUCUGGCCAUGUGUGUCACAAUAGGAGCUACUGAGCAUUUCUGAAACACUGUCCCCAUGUUUCCAAGCCCAGAAGGAACCUCAUGUAUCCAAGAUGUCCAUCUGCUGCUGUGGUGCAAGGCAAACAGCUCCCCAUCUUCUGGCUCAAAGCCAUCUUGAUGCAGCAGAAUGGAGAGACUGGCCAGCCCUGUAGUCCCACUUCACUAUAUAAAAACAGCUAUCCUUAGUGAUUGGUGGACAACAAUAUGCUUUGACAUGUGUGAUGCCCUGUGGGUUGUGGUUAUGAUUACUUUGAUAGCACUAUAAGUGUUCACAUCACUUUACAAAACACGAACUGCCCUGAGGAACUUACAGUCUAAAUUGGUUGGAACAAUACAAUUAAAGGAUAAUGUGUAUGGGUGGCAAGAGACAUACACAUAGACAAUUGGAGAUGUGUAAUGCCCAACAGGUAAAGUAAAGGAACUUGAAAUUGAUGUGGAAAAGAAAUAGAAUCUAGGGAAGUGAUGUAAUGACAGGAGAAGAUUUUGGCACUAGUAUUUUGGACAAUCUGGAGAGGUGAUGAGGUAGAUAUGUGGAGAUUAUAGUAGUCAGUAGGCAUGUGGUCAUGAAGGCAUGAAUCAGAUUUUUAUUUGAAACAGAGAGGAAGUAAUGGAUUUUAGAGAUGUUAUAGGAUGUGUCUUCACUGCAACCUAAGCCCACACUUGAGCUCAGGCUCAAACCUAACCCCCCCUCCACCCCACCGGUGUCUAUACUGCAGUUGUCCUAACCCAGGGCUUAGACCCAGAGUUCCAGGACUCUGCAGGGCUGGAGGGUCUGAGCUUGAGUUAAGAUGGGACACAGAAUUUGAGCACUAUGCUUUGCUGUGUACAUGCAAACCCACUUGACUUGGGUUCUGGGAGUCAGACAGAAGUAUCCCACAAUUCCAUGGGACAAUUUCCUUAGUCCUCUCUAUCCCAACAAUCUGCAGUCCACUGUAUCAAAAAUGGAAGCCACCCCACCUUCUUUGUGAAUGGCAGCAGCUCAGGUUAGCGUUAACCCAUUCUCUUCUGAUCACCAGUCUGCAAGAGCACUAUCAGAAAGCCUCCUGGGUUUGCAAUAGAGAGCAAACUGAUCAAGCAUUUUGCAAAUCGAGCUGCUUCCUGGUAACAUGCAAGGUGGGCAGCAAAGUUUUCCCUCAGUGCAACAUGGUCCUAGGGCUACAACGGCCACAUUUCAGGGUAUGGAAGGAUGUUAGGGAACAUCCUUUACUUUGACUGGGGUCUGCACACUGCAGUGUGACUGCCAGAGCCCUAGGUUUGAGCAUGGGCUAGAAAAAAAAUCUUAACAUAGAGUUAAAAUACAAUGCAGAAGCUCAAGACCAGAGUUCCCUAACAUGGAUCAGAUGACUUACAUUUCAGUGUAGACACACCCAAAGUCACAGGACUUUUAAAGAACCUGGAUGUGAGAGGUGAAUAAUAACAAAAAAUGUGGAAGAGGAAGUCAGGGUUGGGAAGCCACCUCAACAACCUUUACUGAUGGUAGACAGGACAGUGCUAUUAUCAAGAGUCAAAGAGAAGGGAGUGAGGAAUGAAGGCUUGGAUGUAAUAUUGUUAUUUAAAAGGAAUCAUGUGAAUUCCGUGGCCAUUUAAAACUCAGAAGAAUCAAAAGCCACAAUAUUAUGGAGGUAUUAUAGCAAAAGAAGAAGAAUAAAAGAAAAUAAAGAACCAUGGAAAUAUCAUUUGAUUCUUGCCUUUCAAGAACUUCAGCUUGCUGAUUGUUGGUUGUACAUACUGAUAAAUUGCUCUUAUUGUUGAGUGUUCUCUACAGCUGUUAUUCUUUGGCAGGUAUUUUGGAGGCAAUUAAGAAUCAAAGGACGAGAUGAGAAUCUGAAGUGCAUGGUGCCCACUGCUGCAAAUCUUGAAACAUUCAGUACUCCCUGAUGGUAGAUUUUUCCUGUUACCUAAACACAUUGCACAUCUGGGAUUAGAAUUUGUUCCAAAGUGUAAUUUUCAAGUUAAAAUUAUUAAAUCCUGGAAGGUAUUA